UACGGAGGGUGCAAGCGUUGUCCGGAAUCACUGGGCGUAAAGAGCUCGUAGGCGGCUUGUCACGUCGGGUGUGAAAGCCCGGGGCUUAACCCCGGGUCUGCAUUCGAUACGGGCUAGCUAGAGUGUGGUAGGGGAGAUCGGAAUUCCUGGUGUAGCGGUGAAAUGCGCAGAUAUCAGGAGGAACACCGGUGGCGAAGGCGGAUCUCUGGGCCAUUACUGACGCUGAGGUGCGAAAGCGUGGGGAGCAAACAGG
rnacentral:rRNA from 1 species